UCACUCCUAAUUCCCAAAUUCGAUUUCCCCUUCGCAAUCUUUUCUGCCUCCGCUCUCCAUUCCCCACCCCCACCGGCUCUCCAUUCCCCAAUCGCUCGAUCUGCCCCUCCCACCGCCGCGAUUUGCUUCGCCGGACCACCCGACUCUCCUUCCACCUUCGCCCACCGCUGCGAUAGAUUCUCCCUUCGUUGUCUUUUCUGCACACCGGCUCUCCCUUCCACCGCCGCGAUCUGCUUCGCUGGACCACCCGACCCUCCUUCCCCAUUCCCCCACCGCUGCGAUCUGCCCCUCCCACCACCGCGAUCUGCUGCUCAAGCCUUAAUUUCGUCCCCAAAUUCAUUCUCUCCCCCGUUGCCGAUGGCCCAUUCUUCGUGUGAAUAUCGACAAGUGAGAUAUUUCAAUGAAUGUUGCGUACGGGAAGGCCGCAAUCGCCUCUGUCUGCUUCGCUUCGCCGGCCGCCACUCGGCCGUCUGGCUAGAAAUCGCCAUUACCGAUGCUGCCACCUCCUCUGACAUGGUAAGCUUUCACCGAAAUCGCCAUUAAAUGAUACCCUAAUCUCCCUCAUUGCUCCCAAAGAAACCGUAGAUCCCCAAAUCCUCACCGCCUUUGCGAUUUCCGGCACCACGACACCACCUAUCGCGCCGCCCUAAACUCCGGUGAAAGUCGCCGCGAGCCACGGCCACGGCUUCUGUCCGACCCAUCUCCAUCUCUCAGCCCCUAAUCUCCCUCAUCUCUCCCAAAGAAACCCUAGAUCCCCAAAUCCUCACCGCCUCUUUGCGAUUUCCGGCGACCACGCAGCCAUGGCCGCCGCUGCUUCGACUCCCUCUAGCUCUGGUAGAACAGUAACAAAUCGCCGCCCUUCCCCACAUGGUAAGUAUUAAAUGUUUGACUAUUUUAAAUAUAGAAUUAUUGUUAUUUUAGAAAGAACAAAUUUUGGAAAGAAUUUUAACAAUGGAAACUCAUAACCUAGAUUUUUAGCUAUAAAUUACACGAAUCAUUCAGAAAUUGGUCGCAACUUUUUUUACAGCCAACGCAAGGUAUUGCUGCGUUUAUUUAUAUUUGUUCAUUGCUUAAGUUUUCUUUGUUUUUAAAUAAGUUCUGUUUAUAAUUUCUCUUUUUAUUUCUCCAUAUUGCAGCACCAAAAAUCUAAUAUUUUACCUCAUCGUGUUUUUACAAGCAAUUGCAAGGUACCCUUCUUCUUCUUUUGUUGUGUUUCUGUGAUUCACCUUUUUAUUUCUAUUUUCCAGAUUUUUGGUUUAGAU
rnacentral:lncRNA from 1 species